UGCGUCAAUGGAUAUGAGAGGCUUUUAGUUUAUGAGUACAUGCCACAAGGGACAUUAGGCCAGCACUUGUUUGAUCAUGAACAUUUGGGAUUUCCACCUCUCACUUGGAAGCAACGAUUAAUAAUAGCACUAGACGUGGCCAGAGGGGUCGAGUAUCUGCAUGGUUUGGCACAACAGCGAACAUUUGGGAUUUCCACCACUCACUUGGAAGCAGAGAUUAAUAAUAGCACUAAACGUGGCCAGAGGGGUCGAGUACCUGCAUGGUUUGGCACAACAGAGUUUCAUACAUAGAGAUCUAAAGCCUUCUAACGUACUUCUUGGAGAU
rnacentral:lncRNA from 1 species